rnacentral:lncRNA from 1 species
UUCCGCCUUGGGUUCAAUCCUCGGCUAUUAGAUGAUCCUUCCCAAACCGAAUAAGCUAGUUAUAGUGGAAGAGGACUCCUACGACCACCAGCUCCAAUGAUUUAGACUUACGAUGUGGUGGAACCUGACUCUAGCCAACAAUCGCUUCUGUGGGAUUGUCUUAUGCUAGAUCAACGUUUCUCAAUGGCGAAUCCCACGCUAUUUUGUCUCUUGGGCUCACCAACCUCUAACGCAGUAAGCUAACAAACCAUCUGUGCAACAUUCUCAAAACAUAAAAAGCGGCCGUCUUUGCAUAUGUUGAAAAGCUUAUUUCUUUAAGGACAUGGACAAAAGUGUCAGCCCCGUAAUGCAGAGAAACAAUGAAUACUUAACGAGGAGGCUAAGUACGGAUUCAAAGCCUCAUGAACCCUUUUGGGGAUUUUUGACAACCUUCGGCUAGAUGGGUUUAGUGGCUCAUAGUUGUGGUAGAAAAGAAAAUAAAUAAAAUAAAAAUAAAGAUUUUAUUGAAAAGAAAUAUGAGAAGAACAAAAG